rnacentral:rRNA from 1 species
GAUCCUGGCUUAGGAUUAACGCUGGCGGCGUGCCUAAUACAUGCAAGUCGAAUGGUAGCAAUACCAUGGCGAACGGGUGAGUAACACGUAGGUAACCUGUCUUUAAGCCGAGGAUAACCAUUGGAAACGAUGGAUAAUACUGGAUAGGACAUUUGAAGGCAUCUUUUAAUGUUUAAAGAUUUAUCACUUAGAGAGGGGCCUGCGGCGCAUUAGCUAGUUGGUGAGGUGAAGGCUUACCAAGGCGAUGAUGCGUAGCCGGACUGAGAGGUUGAACGGCCACAAUGGAACUGAGAACGGUCCAUACUCCUACGGGAGGCAGCAGUAGGGAAUUUUCGGCAAUGGGCGGAAGCCUGAACCCGAGCAACGCCGCGUGAACGAAGAAGUAUUUCGGUAUGUAAAGUUCUUUUAUUAGGGACGAAAAGACAGAUUGACGGUACCUAAUGAAUAAGCUCCGGCUAACUACGUGCCAGCCGCAGC